GAUGAACGCUGGCGGCGUGCCUAAUACAUGCAAGUCGAGCGAACGGACGAGAAGCUUGCUUCUCUGAUGUUAGCGGCGGACGGGUGAGUAACACGUGGAUAACCUACCUAUAAGACUGGGAUAACUUCGGGAAACCGUAGCUAAUACCGGAUAAUAUUUUGAACCGCAUGGUUCAAAAGUGAAAGACGGUCUUGCUGUCACUUAUAGAUGGAUCCGCGCUGCAUUAGCUAGUUGGUAAGGUAACGGCUUACCAAGGCAACGAUGCAUAGCCGACCUGAGAGGGUGAUCGGCCACACUGGAACUGAGACACGGUCCAGACUCCUACGGGAGGCAGCAGUAGGGAAUCUUCCGCAAUGGGCGAAAGCCUGACGGAGCAACGCCGCGUGAGUGAUGAAGGUCUUCGGAUCGUAAAACUCUGUUAUUAGGGAAGAACAUAUGUGUAAGUAACUGUGCACAUCUUGACGGUACCUAAUCAGAAAGCCACGGCUAACUACGUGCCAGCAGCCGCGGUAAUACGUAGGUGGCAAGCGUUAUCCGGAAUUAUUGGGCGUAAAGCGCGCGUAGGCGGUUUUUUAAGUCUGAUGUGAAAGCCCACGGCUCAACCGUGGAGGGCCAUUGGAAACUGGAAAACUUGAGUGCAGAAGAGGAAAGUGGAAUUCCAUGUGUAGCGGUGAAAUGCGCAGAGAUAUGGAGGAACACCAGUGGCGAAGGCGACUUUCUGGUCUGUAACUGACGCUGAUGUGCGAAAGCGUGGGGAUCAAACAGGAUUAGAUACCCUGGUAGUCCACGCCGUAAACGAUGAGUGCUAAGUGUUAGGGGGUUUCCGCCCCUUAGUGCUGCAGCUAACGCAUUAAGCACUCCGCCUGGGGAGUACGACCGCAAGGUUGAAACUCAAAGGAAUUGACGGGGACCCGCACAAGCGGUGGAGCAUGUGGUUUAAUUCGAAGCAACGCGAAGAACCUUACCAAAUCUUGACAUCCUUUGACAACUCUAGAGAUAGAGCCUUCCCCUUCGGGGGACAAAGUGACAGGUGGUGCAUGGUUGUCGUCAGCUCGUGUCGUGAGAUGUUGGGUUAAGUCCCGCAACGAGCGCAACCCUUAAGCUUAGUUGCCAUCAUUAAGUUGGGCACUCUAAGUUGACUGCCGGUGACAAACCGGAGGAAGGUGGGGAUGACGUCAAAUCAUCAUGCCCCUUAUGAUUUGGGCUACACACGUGCUACAAUGGACAAUACAAAGGGCAGCGAAACCGCGAGGUCAAGCAAAUCCCAUAAAGUUGUUCUCAGUUCGGAUUGUAGUCUGCAACUCGACUACAUGAAGCUGGAAUCGCUAGUAAUCGUAGAUCAGCAUGCUACGGUGAAUACGUUCCCGGGUCU
rnacentral:rRNA from 1 species